UCAAAAUAUGCCUUGUCACACAUUCAACAAAGGAGAAAGGAUCACAAAGUUUGCAGUCUGAAAGGGUGCCACAUACCAAGUUAAGAGGGACAUGAAUGAGUACUCUCACUUAGGUGGUGGAAAUUGGUACGCUUACAUUUUUUAGGAAGAUGAAACUGUUUCCAGUUGGUGGACACAAUGUACUCACAGAAGACAACCUACCAGCAGAAUCUAAUGUGAUUAGCAUGGAUGAACCUCUGUAAAUUCAAAGAUCUGCAGACCCUACCUGAGAGGGCCAAGCAGAGAGAGUGAAUGUACACAUCUGUGGAAAAAACAAUUCCAGGGGCAAUUUAGAUUGAGAACCAAAUGAAAAUAAGAGAAACCAUGAGUUUCUGAAGUUUGUUUAAAGACUGGGAGCAGGAAGAGAAAUGGACUUUUCUGUUAAUGAAGAUGCUCUACCUGAAGCAUCUUGUGUCAGAGCCACAGGACAAUCAGUGAUACAUGGCCCUACGAUACUAUGAUAAAGGCUUUGACUGCAUCCCCAGAAAGAGCAACAAGCCCCUGUGGAGCUUCAAGAGCAUCUGCCACAUAUUCACUACCACAGUUGACCUGUCAUCUGAAACUUGUAAUAUCUAGAGCAAUGUGUUGGCCACCAAUACCAUGUUGCGCACACUGAUGAGCUGUGCCCACCCCCUGUAUUUCCUGGACAUGUCGGGUCCAAGCUCUUCUUUGACAAAAGGCACAACUCUGACAUUGACCUCCUGACAGUGAGUGAGACGGCCAAUGAGCAUGUCAGGGUGAAGGUAAUUUCUUCAAUUUGCCCUAAAACCUGGCCAUCUGUGCCAUUAAGGAGCAUGUAUGAGAUCAUGGCCACUUAAUUUGAAGGUUCAGAUUCACAGAUAAUAAAGAUCCCCAAUUCAAAGGUGAAUAGUUAAGCACUUUAUUAAGCAAGACCAAAAAGAAAAGCAAGAAUCAGGAGCAUCCAUCACCAGACAGGAAAUCACCUACACCCAAACACAGACACUGGGGAAUCCCAAGAGGCAGCAGUGGUCUGGGUUCGUCUGGGA